GACGUCCUUAUCGGGGGCUGCUCGACUCUUCCAUGAUCGUUAUGUGAGAAUUGUCUUGCUGACACCCUUAUGUACAACGCACACGCACGAGCUUAUUGAGUGAUCGUGCAAUUUUUGGAACC